rnacentral:rRNA from 1 species
GACGAACGCUGGCGGCGUGCUUAACACAUGCAAGUCGAACGGAAAGGCUCCAGCUUGCUGGGGUACUCGAGUGGCGAACGGGUGAGUAACACGUGGGUAAUCUGCCCUGCACUCUGGGAUAAGCCUUGGAAACUGGGUCUAAUACUGGAUAUGACCUUUCUCCUUAUGGGGUUUGGUGGAAAGUUUUUCGGUGUAGGAUGAGCCCGCGGCCUAUCAGCUUGUUGGUGGGGUGAUGGCCUACCAAGGCGACGACGGGUAGCCGGCCUGAGAGGGUGAUCGGCCACAUUGGGACUGAGAUACGGCCCAGACUCCUACGGGAGGCAGCAGUGGGGAAUAUUGCACAAUGGGCGGAAGCCUGAUGCAGCGACGCCGCGUGAGGGAUGACGGCCUUCGGGUUGUAAACCUCUUUCAGCAGGGACGAAGCGUAAGUGACGGUACCUGCAGAAGAAGCACCGGCUAACUAUGUG